CCUACGGGUGGCAGCAGUCGAGAAUCAUUCACAAUGGGGGAAACCCUGAUGGUGCGACGCCGCGUGGGGGAAUGCAGGUCUUCGGAUUGUAAACCCCUGUCAUGUGGGAGCAAAUUAAAAAGAUAGUACCACAAGAGGAAGAGACGGCUAACUCUGUGCCAGCAGCCGCGGUAAUACAGAGGUCUCAAGCGUUGUUUGGCAUCAUUGGGCGUAAAGGGUGCGUAGGCUGUUUCGUAAGUCGUGUGUGAAAGGCGCGGGCUCAACCCGCGGACGGCAAAUAAUACCGCGAGACUAGAGAAAAGGAGCGGGAACCGGAAUGCACGGUGUAGCAGUGAAAUGCUUAGAUAUC
rnacentral:rRNA from 1 species